UACGUAGGCAGCGAGCGUUGUUCGGAGUUACUGGGCGUAAAGGGUGCGUAGGCGGUUGUUUAAGUUUGGUGUGAAAUCUCCCGGCUCAACUGGGAGGGUGCGCCGAAUACUGAAUGACUAGAGUGCGGGAGAGGAGAGUGGAAUUCCUGGUGUAGCGGUGAAAUGCGUAGAUAUCAGGAGGAACACCGGUGGUGUAGACGGCUCUCUGGACCGUAACUGACGCUGAGGCGCGAAAGCGUGGGGAGCAAACAGG
rnacentral:rRNA from 1 species